rnacentral:piRNA from 1 species
UGUGUUCCUCGUUUGGGUGACAGGAUC